rnacentral:rRNA from 1 species
CCUACGGGAGGCAGCAGUGGGGAAUAUUGCACAAUGGGGGAAACCCUGAUGCAGCGACGCCGCGUGGGUGAAGAAGUAAUUCGGUAUGUAAAGCUCUAUCAGCAGGGAAGAAAAUGACGGUAACUGAGUAAGAAGCCCCCGCCAAAUACGGUCCAGCAGCCGCGGUAAGAAGUAGGGGGCAAGGGUUAUCCGGAUGUACUGGGGGUAAAGGGAGCGUUGACGGCAGUGCAAGUCUGGAGUGAAAGGCGGGGGCUCAACCCCGGGACUGCUCUGGAAACUGUAGGGCUGGAGUGAAGGAGAGGUAAGUGGAAUUCCUAGUGUAGCGGUGAAAUGCGUAGAUAUUAGGAGGAACACCAGUGGCGAAGGCGGCUUACUGGACUGUAACUGACGUUGAGGCUCGAAAGCGUGGGGAGCAAACAGGAUUAGAUACCCCGGUAGUC